GAUCAUGGCUCAGAUUGAACGCUGGCGGCAUGCCUUACACAUGCAAGUCGAACGGCAGCACGGGAGCUUGCUCCUGGUGGCGAGUGGCGAACGGGUGAGUAAUACAUCGGAACGUACCCUGAAGUGGGGGAUAACGUAGCGAAAGUUACGCUAAUACCGCAUAUUCUGUGAGCAGGAAAGAGGGGGAUCGCAAGACCUCUUGCUUUAGGAGCGGCCGAUGUCGGAUUAGCUAGUUGGUGAGGUAAAGGCUCACCAAGGCGACGAUCCGUAGCGGGUCUGAGAGGAUGAUCCGCCACACUGGGACUGAGACACGGCCCAGACUCCUACGGGAGGCAGCAGUGGGGAAUUUUGGACAAUGGGCGCAAGCCUGAUCCAGCCAUGCCGCGUGAGUGAAGAAGGCCUUCGGGUUGUAAAGCUUUUUCGGUGGGGAAGAAAUUGCACAGGAUAAUACCUUGCGUAGAUGACGGUACCCGCAUAAGAAGCACCGGCUAACUACGUG
rnacentral:rRNA from 1 species